UAAAAAGAAAUGUGCUAGCUGGUAUCCCACCAAAAGAGACUGGUGCACAAAGCCUACCUCUGAGAGGUGACUGGCAAGACACAUCAUGGCACACAUGCCCACUGCCACUCCAAAGCAAGCUCAAGAGUAGAGGGCAAGACUCACAUCUGCUAUUGGGGUAUGGAAGCAGAAGGGAUUGGGCAAGACUCACAUCUGCUAUUGGGGUAUGGAAGCAGAAGGGAUUAGACAAAAUGUUGUCAGAGUACCUAGGAAGCCUGUUUGACCUGACAAAACAUGCAUUGUCAAAUAUAUGACAGGCACGGAUGAUUCAGGAG